UGGCUUAUAGCUUAGUGGUAGAACAUUUUAUUGUAAAUUGAGAAGACACCAGUUCAAACUUGGUUGGGCCCU
rnacentral:tRNA from 1 species